rnacentral:rRNA from 1 species
GACGAACGCUGGCGGCGUGCUUAACACAUGCAAGUCGAACGGAGAUAACGUAGUAGUAAUAUGAAAUUAUCUUAGUGGCGGACGGGUGAGUAACACGUGGGUAACCUGCCCUAUGGAGGGGGAUAACACAAAGAAAUUUGUGCUAAUACCGCAUAACAUAGCUUUAUCGCAUGGUAGAGCUAUCAAAGAUUUAUUGCCAUAGGAUGGACCCGCGGCCCAUUAGCUAGUUGGUGAGGUAACGGCUCACCAAGGCGACGAUGGGUAGCCGACCUGAGAGGGUGAACGGCCACAUUGGAACUGAGACACGGUCCAGACUCCUACGGGAGGCAGCAGUGGGGAAUAUUGCACAAUGGGGGAAACCCUGAUGCAGCAACGCCGCGUGAGCGACGAAGGCCUUCGGGUCGUAAAGCUCUGUCUUAGCUGACGAUAAUGACGGUAAGCUAGGAGGAAGCCACGGCUAACUACGUGCC